CCUAAAAUCUAGCCUUCAUCAAACUUAUACAGUCUACAACUUUUAACCAAUAAUAAAAACCAUUUAUACCUUUUUAGUAGAGGCGAUCGAAGAACAACUAAGAGCUUAAGAAACAGUACCGCAAGGGAAAAAUGAAAUAACAAUGAAAUAACAUAAAGCCCACUAAAGCAGAGCCCUCAACUCGUAC
rnacentral:rRNA from 1 species